rnacentral:rRNA from 1 species
GAUGAACGCUGGCGGCGUGCCUAAUACAUGCAAGUCGAGCGAAUGGAUUAAGAGCUUGCUCUUAUGAAGUUAGCGGCGGACGGGUGAGUAACACGUGGGUAACCUGCCCAUAAGACUGGGAUAACUCCGGGAAACCGGGGCUAAUACCGGAUAACAUUUUGAACCGCAUGGUUCGAAAUUGAAAGGCGGCUUCGGCUGUCACUUAUGGAUGGACCCGCGUCGCAUUAGCUAGUUGGUGAGGUAACGGCUCACCAAGGCAACGAUUCGUAGCCGACCUGCGAGGGUGAUCGGCCACACUGGGACUGAGACACGGCCCAGAGUCCUACGGGAGGCAGCAGUAGGGAAUCUUCCGCAAUGGACGAAAGUCUGACGGAGCAACGCCGCGUGAGUGAUGAAGGCUUUCGGGUCGUAAAACGCUGUUGUUAGGGAAGAACAAGUGCUAGUUGAAUAAGCUGGCACCUUGACGGUACCUAACCAGAAAGCCACGGCUAACUACGUGCCAGCAGCCGCAGUAA